CACCAAAGAGUAGAAAAAUCCACGUCUGCUUCUGUCUUCCCAUAGAGAGAGAGAGAGAGGAGGAGAGAGAGAGAGAGAGAGCGGGUGUUGCUUGCUAUCCAUGAGAGAGGGAAGGAGAGAAGGCAGGUGUUGCUUGUCCUCUCUUCAUAUAUAAGAUAGAGAAGGUUGGUGUUGCUUUUCUCUUUUUAUACAUAAAAUAGAGAGAGAGAGAGAGAGAGAGAGAGAGAGAGAGAGAGAGAGAGAGAGAGAGUUUUUGAUCGGUCUUCAUACAUGGAAGGAGAAAAUACAAUGAUGGAAUCUCCCACACAGAGAGGAGGGAAGAAGGAAGAAACUGAAGAAGAAAAAAUGGAGAAGUUCUUCGAACUUCUGAGAAGCAUUAGAGCUAUGAAAGAUCGCCUGCAGGAUGGGCGGAAGGAGAAGAAGCGAAGAAUAGAGAAAGCGGCUUGGACUCCGUCCUUCGAACUCGAAGAUUUCAUGCAAAAGGUUCAUUUCACAAGCCAGGAAAUAACCUCGCCACAUUCUUCUAAGGAAGAAGAAGAUAGAAACUUAGAUCUCAAACUAUCUCUUUAAUGUAAUUAAUCAUCUCUAAGUAUGUUUGUCGACUGUUUCUAGCAUUACCCAAAUGCUAUACUGUAUGAAGUAUUGUUGUUUCUUCUCA